AACGAUAGCUAAUACCGCAUAACAAUGGAUGACACAUGUCAUUUAUUUGAAAGGGGCAAUUGCUCCACUACAAGAUGGACCUGCGUUGUAUUAGCUAGUAGGUGAGGUAACGGCUCACCUAGGCGACGAUACAUAGCCGACCUGAGAGGGUGAUCGGCCACACUGGGACUGAGACACGGCCCAGACUCCUACGGGAGGCAGCAGUAGGGAAUCUUCGGCAAUGGGGGCAACCCUGACCGAGCAACGCCGCGUGAGUGAAGAAGGUUUUCGGAUCGUAAAGCUCUGUUGUAAGUCAAGAACGAGUGUGAGAGUGGAAAGUUCACACUGUGACGGUAGCUUACCAGAAAGGGACGGCUAACUACGUGCCAGCAGCCGCGGUAAUACGUAGGUCCCGAGCGUUGUCCGGAUUUAUUGGGCGUAAAGCGAGCGCAGGCGGUUUGAUAAGUCUGAAGUUAAAGGCUGUGGCUCAACCAUAGUUCGCUUUGGAAACUGUCAAACUUGAGUGCAGAAGGGGAGAGUGGAAUUCCAUGUGUAGCGGUGAAAUGCGUAGAUAUAUGGAGGAACACCGGUGGCGAAAGCGGCUCUCUGGUCUGUAACUGACGCUGAGGCUCGAAAGCGUGGGGAGCGAACAGGAUUAGAUACCCUGGUAGUCCACGCCGUANACGAUGAGUGCUA
rnacentral:rRNA from 1 species